CUUGUGUAACGUUCAGGUGCGAGAAUUCCCUUUCAGCUCCUAUCCGGAACAUGUCAAGAAUCUGCAGACGUACGCCUGGAAACCAAUCAUAAUUGAUAUAACCUUGCGGGAAUUUGGCGCCAUUUUCUGGGGAGAUGCGUCAAUCCGCCUCAAGGCCUCACUGCGGAAUCUCAUACCAAUUUCAUUGAAACACCAUGGAUACAUGACUCACAUUAAUGGCUUCGAUCCCAAGAAAAAAGAAGAAAUUCCACAUCAGUACUAUUUCACUCAUCCCGAACUCUACGCUAUCCUAGGUGUUAAUAGAACGGAAUACUUUCAAUCAGAAGACUUGGCGCCGCAUGCAUCCGCAAAUCGUCAACUCUUCCUGAACGGCUCAUACAUACAAGAAAACAUCGUGCAACCCAUGUUACAAUGUGCUCUGCGGUAUCGCUGUAUCUCACCGGUUGGAGCAGCAUAUGGAAAGCAUCGUUUCGACGCCUCAAUACUUGCUAUUUUGAUCUAUAAGAACCUGAAAGGCGAGUGGACAAGAACGAAUAAUGACAAC